GAUGAACGCUGGCGGCGUGCCUAAUACAUGCAAGUCGAGCGAACAGAUGAGGAUCUUGCUCCUCUGACGUUAGCGGCGGACGGGUGAGUAACACGUGGAUAACCUACCUAUCAGACUGGGAUCACUUCGGGACACCGGAGCUACUACCGGAUAAUCUAUUGAACCGCAUGGUUCGAUAGUGAAAGACGGUUUUGCUGUCACUUAUAGCUGGAUCCGCGCCGCAUUGGCUAGUUGGUUAGGUCACGGGUUACCAAGGCAACGAUGCGUAGCCGACCUGAGAGGGUGAUCGGCCACACUGGAACUGAGACGCGGUCCAGACUCCUACGGGAGGCAGCAGUAGGGAAUCUUCCGCAAUGGGCGGAAGCCUGACGGAGCGACGCCGCGUGAGUGAUGAAGGUCUUCGGAUCGUAAAACUCUGUUAUGGGGGAAAAACAAAUUUGUAAGUAACUAUGCACGUCUUGACGGUACCGAAUCAGAAAGCAACGGCUAACUACGUG
rnacentral:rRNA from 1 species